rnacentral:sRNA from 1 species
AACAUAGGAUUUUUUGGGUUCACACAUACAGCUCAUAGCAGUCCCUUUUUGAUGGAUAGUUGGGUUGUUUCCAGUCUUUUUCUAUUACAAUGAAUGUGCCAGUAAAGAGCUUCAUGAACAAAAGUAUACCAGGCAAAUUAAUGAACUAGAGGGACAGUUCCAUCAAAAAGCCAAAGAAAUUGGCAUGAUUCACACAGAGCUGAAAGCAGUAAGACAAUUCCAGAAGAGAAAAAUCCAAGUGGAGAGAGAGUUAGAUGAUCUGAAAGAGAAUUUAAGAAACACAGAGCGGAUACAUCAGGAGACUCUUAGAAGACUGGAAAGCAGAUUUUUUGAAGAAAAGGCAAUUGAACGAUGCUGGAAGAAAUGUUUUUAAAGAGAAUGUUUAUCUCCAGAAAGCUCUGGCAUAUCACCUGAAGGAAACUGACGCUCUACAAAAAAACUCCCAGAAGUUGCAAGAGAGUCAUACUUUACUUUUACAUCAAAAGAGUUGGUCCCUGAGUCACUUAGGAAUACAUUUAGCGGUGAGUAACAGUCCUGACAUCAGUGACAUCACCACACAAGGGUUUAUUCUUUCACCUAAAGGAGGCCUGGAGGAGAUCAAUGAUCUGUUGGUUAAGGAAAAGAUUAUGCAACUUGUCCAGCAGAGAUCACAAAUCCAAACCCUUCAGAAGAAGGUAGUAAACUUGGAGACUGCUCUGAGUUACAUGACCAAAGAGUUUGAGAGUGAAGUUUUAAAACUGCAGCAACACGCAAUGAUAGAGAACCAAGCAGGUCAGGUAGAAAUUGACAAGCUGCAGCACCUUCUUCAGAUGAAGGACAGGGAAAUGAAUCGUGUGAAGAAGCUGGCCAAGAACAUACUGGAUGAGAGAACAGAAGUGGAAAGAUUCUUUUUAGAUGCUCUGCACCAAGUGAAGCAACAGAUCCUAAUUAGCAGGAAGCAUUAUAAGCAGAUAGCACAAGCUGCUUUCAAUUUAAAAAUGAGAGCAGCAUGUACAGGAAGAACAGAAUAUCCCAAAAUCAGAACAUUUGAUGGCAGAGAGCACAGCACCAAUAGUGUGAAUCAGGAUCUUCUGGAGGCCGAAAAAUGGACACAUAUUGAAGGAAAUGUGGAUAUUGGAGAUUUGACCUGGGAGCAGAAGGAAAAAGUAUUGCGAUUGCUCUUUGCAAAAAUGAAUGGCUGUCCUUCUAGGAAAUACAACCAGAGUUCUAGGCCUCCAGUUCCAGACUAUGUUGUUUCUGACAGUGGGGAAACAAAGGAAUUUGGGGAUGAAAGUAAGCUUCAAGAUAAAAUCUUCAUCACCCAGCAAAUUCCAAUAUCAGACUCUUCUGGUAAAGUGGUGCUACCCAGUAUUCCAAAAGAACCUCAAGAGUCUGACACAAGCACACAGAAACCAUCAGAUGAGAACUUCUCAACUUCCUACUAGCAAACCUACAAAACUGAACUCAACCUAAUGGAGAAGGUAGCCAGCAAGCUCCAUGCAGGAAAAGUGACCGAGAGAGUGGUGCACGAUCAAUAUAUGUGGACUGGAUGAAGAGGUCCCCACUCAGCCAUCAUCACUUUCUCUAGGAAGUCUCAACCUCAGGUCUAUGGUCACUAGAUUGUUGUGUCCCCAGCCCCUAGCACAAUUCCUGGAAGAGAGUCACUUUAGAAGUUUCUCCAAAUGAAUCAGAAAAUACAUAGUGUCUGUUUCUGAAAUAAAAGUACAUGGAAAGAG